UUUCCUCAUUGACUUUAGAUUGUAACAAGUUACCCUCAUCAGCUUUAGAUUGUCACAAUUUUCCCUCAUUACUUUUAGAUUGUAACAAGUUACCCUCAUCAGCUUUAGAUUGUCACAAUUUUCCCUCAUUACUUUUAGAUUGUAACAAGUUACCCUCAUCAGCUUUAGGUUGUCAUAGUUUUCCCUCAUUGACUUUAGAUUGUAAAAAGUUACCCUCAUCAGCUUUAGGUUGUCACAAUUUUCCCUCAUUGACUUUAGAUUGUAACAAGUUACCCUCAUUGACUUUAGAUUGUAACAAGUUACCCUCAUUGACUUUAGAUUGUAACAAGUUACCCUCAUCAGCUUUAGAUUGUAACAAGUUACCCUCAUUGACUUUAGAUUGUAACAAGUUACCCUCAUCAGCUUUAGAUUGUAACAAGUUACCCUCAUCAGCUUUAGGUGGUCACAAUUUUCCCUCAUUGACUUUAGAUUGUAACAAGUUACCCUCAUCAGCUUAGAUUGUCACAAUUUUCCCUCAUUGACUUUAGAUUGUAACAAGUUACCCUCAUCAGCUUUAGAUUGUAACAAGUUACCCUCAUCAGCUUUAGAUUGUAACAAGUUACCCUCAUCAGCUUUAGAUUGUCACAAUUUUCCCUCAUUACUUUUAGAUUGUAACAAGUUACCCUCAUCAGCUUUAGAUUGUAACAAGUUACCCUCAUCAGCUUUAGGUUGUCACAAUUUUCCCUCAUUGACUUUAGAUUGUAACAAGUUACCCUCAUCAGCUUUAGAUUGUAACAAGUUACCCUCAUCAGCUUUAGAUUGUAACAAGUUACCCUCAUCAGCUUUAGGUUGUCACAAUUUUCCCUCAUUAACCUUAGAUUAUAAAGAUCAUCAUCAUGAUGUAAAUCUUCAGUGUGGGAGAAAUAAUGUGAAAUUUGUAUAACCUCGUUCUUCUAUGCAGAUAACAAUAGGUGUACCUCUCUUUAUAUUUUUGAUACAUAUUCCUUCAAAUGUGAGGGAGAAAAAAUAAGUACUAAUGUUUCAUGCUUCUACUUCUGUGUUAUAAAUGUUUAUAGUGAUAAACCUAUUUGUUUUCACUGCUACCUUAGCUGUUUUUCUGUUGACAUAACUUUGUGAUGAUAAACCAAGAUCAUGUUACAUUUUGUAAUCCAGAUUGUUUUUGCUGCUAAUGUGAGCUGUAUUCGCAGCUUCUGUGUGCCAUUUUUCUGUUGCCAUAACAUUAAUGUGAUGGUCCAAGAUAGAGUUACAUUGUAGUCCUGCCUGUAUUCGCAGCUUCUGUGUGCCAUUUUCCUAAAUCCUACAUGAUGUGCCUGUUUGUUCUUACCACAGAUUUUACAUAGUAUAUGUUAAGCUUCAAGCUUUGCCAUUAACCACACCCCAGUAUCAUGAAACAAUUUUAAGCCUAAAACUAUCCUAAAUUUUGAGCUACUUAAUUACAGAUAACAUCAUGGAAAGAGACAUUUUGUUCAAUUGGCUUAACAAACACCUUAGUUUUGGAUCGUUUCCUGAUCUCCGGCCAUAUUUUAUUUAUUCAGAUGAACAUCAACAUGAUGUGAUAUUGUUCUCACUCUUUAUUUGGUAUUUGAUACAUUAGUAACUGCCUUCUGAGUUAGAUCCAGAAUAGAAGUUUUCUCUUAUUUUAGUCACACCAAUCAAUGAUUUUCCGAUUUUGUUAGCUCUAGGCAUUUUUAGUCUGUGAAAUAAAUCUACACUGUCAAAGGGAAUUUUAAGUGGUGAUGCACUAUUCUGUUGUGAAGAGAUGCUCUAAUGAGGAAAAUAAAGAGAAAUGAUUUUAUCACAUAUUAGACACAGUUUCUUAAUUUCAAACUACAAAAAAAUUCCAAGGGCUGAAAGAAAUGGCUUGGACCUUUUGUAAGUUCUACAGUACAGUAUGUCACCUGGAACACUCAUUUAGGCAAAAUUCUAUUAAAAAUUUGUGAUGCCAAGGCAAACAAAUAUGUCUGGAGGUAGAAACUAAUUAAAGGAACGACUCACGAUAUAGCCAACUUGAAAGGCAUUCAAUAUUUCAGAAUGAUGCAAACAUGUAUUGGUUUAACCAUUUUAUAUAUUGGAUGAUUAUUGUCUGACAUGUUUGCUGACAGCUUCUGUAUCAAAGUAAUAAGGCUUAUUACACAACAGAGAUGUAAAAUUUGUAGUCAUUAUUACUAAUGCUGAAAUAUAUUAGGGUGGGCUUAUUAACAGGCAUGGAUUUUAUGUAAGAUAAACACUGUAUUUUUCAUACUAGAGUUGCUCUUAACAUUCCAGCUGUCAAAAUCUAAUGAUUUACUGGGUAAAAGUUAUAAUAAUUUUACUUUGACAGUGAAAGUUUUGUUCAUAUUAAUUAGUGCAAAUUACAGUUCUAAAAGUUAUUUUUUGUGAAAGUAAAUAAAAAAUGAAAUGACAAUCAUAGUGAUAAAUAUUUGUAGACAUUUUUCCAUUAUACUGAUGUAAUGUCAUUAUAAGUUUUUGCCAAAAAUGUUCUCAGAACAUUAAGAGUAGUCUAUAUUGAAAUCAUAUUGCAAUCUGGUAAUUGAAUAUACAUAUUUAGUGUAGUUUCUCAUAGCUGCUAGAAUUACAGAGUAUGUCAAGAAAUUCAAAAGUAUAUUGUAAAACAAUCAAAAACUAUAUUAAGGUAUGUUUUAUUAAAUUAUGAGAGACAAUUGGCAUGAAAAUUAACAUUUCGUUAUUCACCAAUAGCUGGUUAACAACGUAUUUGAGAUGUUGAAAUAAAAGACAACACACAGUGAACGUUGAACUGUCCACAGAUUCUGAUUACUCAUGAACUAUUAACUACAUAUAUCUUUCUGCUUGCUGUGAUAAUAAACUUUAGUGCCUAAAAAUGAA